CCUCCUCCAACGACAACCUCCACCUCCUCAGCAGCUCCUCUUCCCUUCCCACCUCCACCUCCACCGCCACCGCACCUCCUCUCCCGGCCACGCGCUUCCCCUCCCCCGUGCAUGAAACCCUAACCCUAAACCCCCUCAUCCUCCCCGAGCCAUCCCCUCCGCGAUGGCCAAGGCGCUGCUCUCCUCCUCCUCCUCCCUGCUCCCCGCGCUGCCCCGCGCCGGCGGGGCCGGCGCCGCGAGCCUGCUCCCGCCGCUCCGGCUGCGGCGCGGGGGCCGCCGGCGCGCCGCGGCGUGCGCGGUGAGGGCGGGCCUCCACGGGCUGGACUCGCUCGCGGGACCCCACCUCCAGGCCGCGCUGGAGCGCGCCGAGGCCGCGCUCUACACGCUCGCCGACGCCGCGGUCGUCGCGGCCGACGCGGCGGCGGGAGGAGGGGACGCCGGGGAGGCGGUGACGGCGGUGCAGAAGAACGGCGGCUGGUUCGGCUUCAUCUCCGAGGCCCUCGAGGUCGUGCUCAAGGUGCUCAAGGAUGGUCUGUCAGCAGUCCAUGUGCCGUACUCUUAUGGGUUUGCAAUCAUUCUGCUGACCAUCAUUGUUAAGGCUGCGACGUUGCCUCUAACCAAAAAACAGGUGGAAUCAACUCUGGCGAUGCAGAAUUUGCAGCCGCAGAUUAAGGCAAUCCAGCAGAGAUAUGCAGGCAACCAGGAAAGGAUACAGCUAGAGACUGCUCGGUUAUAUAGGCAAGCUGGAGUCAACCCGUUAGCAGGAUGUUUUCCAACAUUGGCAACAAUACCUGUCUGGAUUGGUCUUUACCAAGCCCUUUCAAAUGUAGCAAAUGAGGGGCUGUUGACAGAAGGAUUUUUCUGGAUUCCAUCAUUGGGAGGCCCUACAACAAUUGCAGCUCGGCAAAGUGGUGCUGGGAUUUCAUGGCUCUUCCCAUUUGUGGACGGUCAUCCUCCAUUAGGUUGGCAUGACACAAUAUGUUAUCUUGUGUUGCCUGUGCUACUUGUUGCUUCUCAGUUUGUCUCUAUGGAGAUAAUGAAGCCACCCCAGAGCGAUGACCCAUCACAGAAAACCAGCCUGCUCGUUUUGAAAUUUCUUCCAUUUAUGAUUGGAUAUUUCUCUUUAUCAGUGCCAUCAGGAUUGUCCAUUUAUUGGUUUACAAACAAUGUCCUCAGCACAGCCCAGCAGGUGUGGUUACGGAAAAUGGGGGGAGCAAAGCCUGCAGUCAGUGAGGGAGGUAGCGGAAUAAUUACAGCGGGACGUGCAAAACGCUCUAAUGCUCAACCAGCUGGGGAAAGGUUUAGGGAGCUAAAAGAAGAAGAGAACAGGAGAAAACUCAACAAAGCACUUGCUGCAGGAGAUUCAAAAGCAUCGGCAUCAACGUAUGACUCAGACGAUGAAGAGUCAGAUGAUGAGACCACAGAGGAGGGAGGACCUGUGGAGAAAGCAUCCAGUACUGGGAGUGACAAGAAACUUCCGAGUUACUCAGGGAAGAAGGGCAAAAGAUCGAAAAGGAAGCGCAUGGUGCAGUAAUCGUUACAACCUAAUUGGAUGUCAGUUUUGUUGCAACUGGUAACUGCUCUUGACCCUCAGGUUAAUUCAGUUGACCAGUUCAGUGGCACAGUUGAUCUCAGCAGACAAUUUUGAUGGUCUCUUGGAGGCCUAAAUUUGAGGUGCUGACAAAUAGGCCAUUUCUGGGGGUCACACGUAUAUGCUCAGUAUAUGCUAGGCUUUGAGAGGGUAAUGGACAGGAGAACAGGAGUCGAGUAUAUGGACAAGCAGAGAGAAAGGAUCUGUAGAAGUAGAUAAGAGAUACUCGUGUAUGCUGUAAGCUGGGUUCCCAAAUUGGGCCGAAUCUGGAUAUUCCAGACUAUCGGUAUGCAUUCCUUUUCUUCUCAUGUAACCUAUUAAACCAUUGUUUGGGGGGGUAUAUUGCGUAAGCUCACAACCAUCCAGUCAUACAAAUUAAAUGAGUUUUAAUACAACUUUUGGCACUGUA